rnacentral:lncRNA from 1 species
CAGAUUCUAGUUCUAUAUUUUACUUGUGCAAACUAAAGCAAACUGACCAUCUCUGUGGUCUUUAGCGUGGAGAUGCUCUCUGGUUCAUUGGCUUGUUGAGAAGAUUAAAGAAAACGUGGGUCAAAGCUUCGCACAGCAGCUUUCUGAGAUGACCAUGAAAGGCAAAUAUUUUGAAUGGAUGGAGAACAUCUUGGCAGCCACUGCAGAGCAAGGAAAGACACUCACGAAAGAGGACUUCCAGAGCUGCUCCCGAAAGUGGCAAGAAGGACAGGAUAAGUGGUCUUCAAAGUGAGGGGGACUACUUGGGGUGGGAUGUUAAUAGAAAUGGGUCUUUUACUGUAAUCAACUUUUUACAAUUUAAACAUUUCCCGUAUUUGUCAAUCAUAGCUUGAGUUCAAAGGCUAGCUAGCUUUUAAUAGCCAAAGGAUUACCAAUUUUGAUCAGACAGUCUAAGCAGUUUGGGUGCACAGGUGGGGCCAAUUUGUCUGAAGAGAUGAGAGACAUGGCACUGUGAUACCUAGAUAGGAGUCCAUGUGCUCCAUCCAUAUUGCAUCAAAACUCAUCUCUCAUCCCACAAGGAGCCACUUUGGUAGUAAAUAAAUCACAACGAGAGGAGAUGGCAACUCCUGGAAUAUUUAGAAGACAUCCUGGAAUUGCAUGGGAUUAGAUAAUUUAAUUUAUCUUAAUUAUGAAUUAGCCUCAAAUUAAAACUAAGAGAAUUUUAAAGAAAAUCAAAUAUAAAUGCUAAUGCUUUUGCCUGAAGAAAUUUGCAUGUAUUUGACAUUUGACCAUAUCCAAACUUAAAAGAAUUUAGCCUAUUAGAAAAAAGGUUUUGCCUAGUAAUUCCUUUUUUUUUUUUUUUUUUUUUUUGAGACAGGGUCUCACUAUGUAGUUGAGAGUGACCUGGAAAUCACUGUGUAGGCCAUGCUGGUCUUGAACUCACAGCAAUCCUGCUGCCUCAGCCUUCUGAGUACUGGGAUUACAGGCAAGUGCCAUCAUGCCC